UACGAAGGUCCCAAGCGUUAUCCGGAUUUAUUGGGUUUAAAGGGUGCGUAGGCGGGCUAUUAAGUCAGUGGUGAAAGCCCCAAGCUUAACUUGGGAACUGCCAUUGAUACUGAUGGUCUUGAAUACAUUUGAGGUGGGCGGAAUGUGUCAUGUAGCGGUGAAAUGCUUAGAUAUGACACAGAACACCGAUUGCGAAGGCAGCUCACUAAACUGUAACUGACGCUGAGGCACGAAAGCGUGGGGAGCAAACAGG
rnacentral:rRNA from 1 species